CCUACGGGAGGCAGCAGUGAGGAAUAUUGGUCAAUGGGCGGGAGCCUGAACCAGCCAAGUAGCGUGCAGGAUGACGGCCCUAUGGGUUGUAAACUGCUUUUGUAUGGGGAUAAAGUGCCCCACGUGUGGAGUUUUGCAGGUACCAUACGAAUAAGGACCGGCUAAUUCCGUGCCAGCAGCCGCGGUAAUA
rnacentral:rRNA from 1 species